UACGUAGGGUGCGAGCGUUAAUCGGAAUUACUGGGCGUAAAGCGUGCGCAGGCGGUUUUGUAAGCCAGAUGUGAAAUCCCCGGGCUUAACCUGGGAACUGCGUCUGAUACUGGGAGGCUUGAGUAUGGGAGAGGGAUGUAGAAUUCCAGGUGUAGCGGUGAAAUGCGUAGAUAUCAGGAGGAACACCGGUGGCGAAGGCGGGUCUCUGGGCCACUACUGACGCUGAGGAGCGAAAGCGUGGGGAGCGAACAGG
rnacentral:rRNA from 1 species